GGGCGGUUAGCUCAGUUGGUUAGAGCAUGGUGCUAAUAACGCAGAGGUUGCUGGUUCGAUCCCCGCACAGGCCG